GAUGAACGCUGGCGGCGUGCCUAAUACAUGCAAGUCGAGCGGACGGACGAUAAGCUUGCUUCUCUGAUGUUAGCGGCUGACGGGUGAGUAACACGUAGAUAACCUACCUCUAUGACUGGGGUAACUUCGUGAAACCGGAGCUAAUACCGGAUAAUAUUUUGAACCGCAUGGUUCAAAAGUGAAAGACGGUUUUGCUGUCACUAAUAGCUGGAUCCGCGCUGGAUUAGCUAGUUGGUAAGGUAACGGCUUACCAAGGCUACGAUGCAUAGCCGAGCUGAGAGGGUGAUCAGCCACACUGGAACUGAGACACGGUCCAGACUCCUACGGGAGGCAGCAGUAGGGAAUAUUCCGCAAUGGGCGAAAGCCUGACGGAGCAACGCCGCGUGAGUGAUGAAGGUCUUCGGAUCGUAAAACUCUGUUAUUGGGGAAGAACAGAUGUGGAAGUAACUGUGCACAUCUUGACGGUACCUAAUCAGAAAGCAACGGCUAACUACGUG
rnacentral:rRNA from 1 species